rnacentral:lncRNA from 1 species
CUUUCUUCCUUCCUUCCUACUUUCUUUCUUUUUUUUUUUUUUUUUUUUAGACAGAGUCUCACUCUGUCACCCAGGCUUGCGUGCAGUGGCGUGAUCUUGGCUCACUGCAACCUCUGCUGCCAAGGUUCAAGUGAUUCUCCUGCUUCAGCCUCCCGAGUAGCUGGGAUUACAGGUGUGUGCCACCAUGCCCGGCUAAUUUUUGUAUUUGUAGUAGAGAUGGGGUUUCACCGUAUUGGUCAGGCUGGUCUUGAACUCCUGAUCCACCCACCUCGGGCUCCCAAAGUGCUGGGAUUACAGGCGUGAGCCACCGUGCCUGGCCCCUUUCUUUCUUUCUUUCUUUCUUUCUUUCUUUCUUUCUUUCUUUCUUUCUUUCUUUCUUUCUUUCUUUCUUUCUUUCUUUCUUCUUCCUUUCUUUCUCUCUCUCUCUUUCUCUCUCUUUCUUUCUUUCUUUCUCUCUCUCUUUCUUUCUCCCUCCCUUCCUUCCUUCCCUCCUCCCUCCCUCCUUCCCUCCCUUUCUCUCUCUCUCUCUCUUCCUGCAUCAUCACUUUCCUCGCUGACAGUGUGGUUACAAGGACCAGAGCUGAGGGUGGGCAAUGGACUCAGCACCCAGGAGGUGCCUGGAGCCAACGCACACCUGGCUCUGCAUAGAGUUGGGGGAGAACAUCUGCACGCAGCUGUAACUCACAGAGAACCUGCCGAGCAGCCACCGAUUUCAUCUGUCAAUCUUGGGCCGACGACAUCUGGGGCCAGAAUUUACAAAAGGCACAACUAUCAAUUUCAAGGAGAUGGGAUCAGUGUCUUCUGAAUCUUUCAGGAUGCUGGCCAGCUUUUAACCCCCAUGAUGAGAAGACAAAAGUUUGAAUCAUCCCCAACUUGGAAAGCUGUCUCAGAUUAUGGAGAAACAUCAGUUUUAUUUUUACUUUGAUCCUGUAUCUAUUUUGGGAAGCAUUUUGGGGAACGAUCUCCUCCAACAUGUCUGGGCUUUUCUUGAGAACUCUUUACAAAAGGGCCAAUGGGUAAGCAAAAAAUUAGGAGGCGAAGGCAUUUCAGCGAGUUCUAGCAUUCCCGCCCCAGUUCCUGUUAGCAUUUUGGGCAUUCAGAGCGGGCUCCAUUGCUGGAAUAAAUGGCCUCAUUGUCCUGGCUGCAGGGAUGUGUCUCUGGGAGUUACAAGACUGGCAUUUCCUUUUUCUUUUUUUAUUUAUAACUUCUAUUAAUAGAUACUCCAAGGAUGAAGGGAAUUUUAAGAAAGGGAAAAGCUGGGCUUCAAAUAAUGCAUUGAUUCUUCUAGCCCUCACAUCGUCACGACAGAGCCAAUGACUGGGAGAUAACUCAGUGUGCUGGGAGCUCUCAGAAAACUGCUCACCCUUUACUUGCUUAUAUUUGGAAAGUAAGGCGAGCUACCCACUGUAUUUAAGAGGUGCUAUUGCCUCACCAUCUUAGCAUUAGACAAUGGAUGUGGGAUACAUUCGUUUUCCUACCUAUGUGAGAAGAGCCAAACUUACCCAUUGCUGACACAGGAGGAAGACACAGACCCUGUUCAAAGGCUCCAGGCCGUCCUUUUCCAUGAGAAAUCUCAAAAACAAGAAGGUUGAUCAGCUAUGUCAGGGGUCAGCAAAUUACAGCCCAAAGGCCAAAUCUGGCCCACCACCUAAUUUUGUACAACCUACAAGCUAAGAAUGUUUUCUAUAUUUUUAAAUGACUAAAAAAAAAAAAAAUCAGAAGAAUAUUUUGUGACACAUAAGAAUUACACGAACUUCACAUUUCAGUGUCCAUGUAGGAUAUCCUCAUUGUUUGCGGAUUCUCAGUUUGCAAAUUUGGCUACUGGCUGAACUGUAUUUUUAAGCCCAAUAGCAAUUCUGGAGGUGCUUCUGUGAUCAUUCUUAGACAUGCACAAAGCAGGGAAAAGUUUAAGUUGCCCAGUGCACGUGUUCCUCACUGAGGCCAAACAGGGCGAUGCCCUGCCUCUUUGUUUCACACUGAACUAAUGUCUUUUCUGUGGUCUAUUGAGUGCCAUGUUUUUCACAUUUUGUUGCUUUUUAUUGGUGAUUUCAAUAUUUAAAAUGGCCCCCAAGGCCAGGCAUGGUGGCUCAUGCCUGUAAUGCCAGCACUUUGGGAGGCCAAGACAGGAAGAUCACUUGAGCCCAGGGGUUCAAGACCAGCCUGGACAACAUAGUGAGACCUUGCCUCUACAAAAAUUUCUUUAAAAGAAUUAGCCAGGCAUGGUGGUGCGCACCUCUAUUCCCAGCUUUGGGAGGCUGAAGUAGA